CCUACGGGCGCUGCAGUGGGGAAUAUUGGACAAUGGGCGAAAGCCUGAUCCAGCCAUGCCGCGUGUGUGAAGAAGGCCUUCGGGUUGUAAAGCACUUUCAGUGGGGAAGAAAGCCUUGGGGCUAAUACCCUCGAGGAAGGACAUCACCCACAGAAGAAGCACCGGCUAACUCCGUGCCAGCAGCCGCGGUAAUACGGUGGGUGCGAGCGUUAAUCGGAAUUACUGGGCGUAAAGCGCGCGUAGGCGGUCUGAUAAGCCGGUUGUGAAAGCCCCGGGCUCAACCUGGGAACGGCAUCCGGAACUGUCAGGCUAGAGUGCAGGAGAGGAAGGUAGAAUUCCCGGUGUAGCGGUGAAAUGCGUAGAGAUCGGGAGGAAUACCAGUGGCGAAGGCGGCCUUCUGGACUGACACUGACGCUGAGGUGCGAAAGCGUGGGUAGCAAACAGGAUUAGAUACCCGUGUAGUC
rnacentral:rRNA from 1 species